rnacentral:rRNA from 1 species
UGAGUAACACGUAUCCAACCUGCCGUCUACUCUUGGACAGCCUUCUGAAAGGAAGGAUUAAUACAAGAUGGCAUCAUGAGUCCGCAUGUUCACAUGAUUAAAGGUAUUCCGGUAGACGAUGGGGAUGCGUUCCAUUAGAUAGUAGGCGGGGUAACGGCCCACCUAGUCUUCGAUGGAUAGGGGUUCUGAGAGGAAGGUCCCCCACAUUGGAACUGAGACACGGUCCAA